rnacentral:rRNA from 1 species
AUUGAACGCUGGCGGCAGGCUUAACACAUGCAAGUCGAGCGGGGUGAUGGUGCUUGCACUAUCACUUAGCGGCGGACGGGUGAGUAAUGCUUAGGAAUCUGCCUAUUAGUGGGGGACAACAUCUCGAAAGGGAUGCUAAUACCGCAUACGUCCUACGGGAGAAGGCAGGGGAUCACUUGUGACCUUGCGCUAAUAGAUGAGCCUAAGUCGGAUUAGCUAGUUGGAGGGGUAAAGGCCUACCAAGGCGACGAUCUGUAGCGGGUCUGAGAGGAUGAUCCGCCACACUGGGACUGAGACACGGCCCAGACUCCUACGGGAGGCAGCAGUGGGGAAUAUUGGACAAUGGGGGGAACCCUGAUCCAGCCAUGCCGCGUGUGUGAAGAAGGCCUUAUGGUUGUAAAGCACUUUAAGCGAGGAGGAGGCUCUUUUGGUUAAUGCCCAAGAUGAGUGGACGUUACUCGCAGAAUAAGCACCGGCUAACUCUGUGCCAGCCGCCGCAGUAA